rnacentral:tRNA from 1 species
GGUUCCAUGGUGUAACGGUUAGCACUCAGGACUCUGAACCCUGCUAUCCGAGUUAAAAUGUCGGGAGAACCU